UUGGCUGUGCAGUUACCUGAUUAAACACUACAGAGGCACAGGGGUCAUAAAGGUCAUUGUCCUGAGCUGCAGAAGUAAACAACAGAGAGAGGGCCUCUCUCAGGCUCCCUGAUGAUACUGAAGCCCACUGAAAAAGUGAAGAGAAUCUGCAAUAAAGGCACAUCAGACCACCAUACAUGGACCCUGACAUGAAACAGAACUCUGCAGGAAGUGUGCUCUAGUGUCCCCUAAUCUGUGUAGCAGAGGAGGACUCACAGAGUCACCUUUCAGAUUAGAAGAAACCAG
rnacentral:lncRNA from 1 species